GUCCUUGUAGUGCAAUGGAUAGCGUGUUGGAUUCUAAUUCCAAUCGUGGAUUGGAAUCCCACCAGGGACG